rnacentral:lncRNA from 1 species
ACCGUCUUUGCUGGUGCAUGUUUAGACAUUUAUUUUUUCUGCAUGUGUUCCCACCAUUGCACUCUGCAGACAAGUGGGAGGGGAAUUUGAUAAUCAGUUUGAAUUUUGUCAGUUACACCAAGUCACAUCUGUCGUCUGCCCUUCUAAUCACGCAGAAGCCUCCAAAAGCCCAUAAGGCAUGAAGUUUCCAGGGCUUAUAAAGUUAUUGAGGCAAUGUGAGAAGUGGAGAAUAGACAUCAGGAGACUUUAGCAUAGAGGAUCCUACCUUAGACUCCCUGAAACAUCCACCCAUGACUUUCAGAACAUGACUUGCUUCCCGCAUUCCCCGCAGAUACCUGGAUUCACCUGUGAAUCUCUGAAGCAUCACUCUCAACAGGGGACAGAUCUGUCCCCCAGAAGAUAUUUAAUAGUGUCUGGGAACAUUUUUUGUUGGCCCAGCUGUUGAAGAUGGGAGGGUUGCUACUGCCACCUAGUGGGUGGAGGCCAGGGAGGCUGCUAACCAUCCUACAGUGCACAGCACAGCAGCCCCUAGGAGGGGAGGGUGAUCCAGCCCCAGAUGGCAGUAGUGCCAAGGUUGAAGACCCUGCUCCAGAUCUCCCAUGAAACCUUGGAGACCUGGAAAAUUCCAUCUCUUCCCAACAGCAGUAGCCCUUCCUAUCUUUUAAAGUAGAUAUAAUCACGUCCACUUACAUCUGAAAAUCACAACUAGGAAAUCCACUAAAAUCCAGAGUGCAAUACAGCCAGCUUACAUUAGCUGGAAACAGCACUGGUGUGACCCCCUGCAACUUGGAACUCAAGUCACAGAUAUUCCACCUGUCAUCACCUGUCACACAGUACCAUGAGAGCAGUGUGGGCUGGGAUGUUCCUGCAGCUCAGGUGUGCAUGUUGUACACCCAUUGAGCAGAUUUCACCAUGACAGAAUAUUCCAGAAACAUUUCUGUGUAGACUCUCUCAGAAAUGUUUCUCUCACUGUACAUACUCUUCCAGUUUCCCAGGCAACUAAAUGUAUUAGCACAAAUAUAUGCAUACAAGAUUUUUAUAGGAAAAAUAAAACAACAUAAUAUUAAAUUUAGGUUCAACAAAUAUUCAUGAUCAUUUAAAUCUGAGGCAGCUGCCAUCACUUUGGGAAUAGCUUAUGUUUCAAACUUGGAAGCUCCCUAGGAGGCCUGAGUGGUGUUGGCUGUGGUCUGGUCUGGGUGGGGUUCUGGUUAGUUGCUUGCUUGCUUCAUGGCUAAGUAGAUGCAGAGACUAGUUGGUGUGCUGUUUGGGGCAGUGCUUGGGGACCUUGUGUGGUUAGUUCCAGUGCCAGGGCUUGGGUGAUACCUGUAUCCAUUACCUCAGAUCAUGAAGCUGAAGGAUCCCUCGCACUAGGCUAGAGAUGCUGGGAUCUGGAGUGGAGGAGGGGCUGCUGAAGCAGCCUUGCAAUGAGGAGGAUUCAGGAAAAAUCUUCCUAAAUGGUAGUAUCCCUAAACUGAGCCUGGAGAAGUCAGGGUGACCCAAGCAAAGGUGUUAACCAUGCAGGAAGCAAGAACAACAGGAGUUAAGUCUGAGCACCCAGCUCACAAGAUUAAAGGUAGGGCCCCCUGGAAGGAGAAGAGAGGCCCCAACAAAAGGGAUCUCACUGGAGUUUAUUUGGAAAGCAAGGGACCACUGAUAUGGUCAGCAGAAUGAUGCACAUGGCCUUGUGCUUCCCAUUUUAUUCUGCUAGGAUUAAUACAUAAGGGAUUUGUAUUUAUUAAGACAUCUCUGGACCUAUUCCACAAUAUCAGGUGGUUAAAUGUAAUGAUCUACAUUUUUAUUGACCUUUCAAUGAACAAGUCAGUGUAUAUGCAUGCAUGUAUAUGUAUGCAGAGAGCACAUGCCACAUUCCCCAUAUGCUAAACAACACACACAUAUUCUGUCCCUCAUCAGAUAACAAACCUCUAAGUGGAUAAUUCUCUGCCUCUGUUAUAAACUCAAAGC